UACGUAGGGGGCUAGCGUUGUCCGGAUUUAUUGGGCGUAAAGAGCGUGUAGGCGGCCAUGUCGAGUCGGUGAUGAAACUCGAGGCUUAACCCCGAGCCUGCAGUGGAUACGGGCAGACUAGAGGUAGGUAGGGGAGAAUGGAAUUCCCGGUGUAGCGGUGAAAUGCGCAGAUAUCGGGAGGAACACCAGUGGCGAAGGCGGCUUUCUGGUCUGUAACUGACGCUGAGGCGCGAAAGCGUGGGGAGCAAACAGGG
rnacentral:rRNA from 1 species